rnacentral:sRNA from 1 species
GUGGAUUGGGACCCCGAGGGACGCAGGGGAGCUCGGCGGGGUGCGGAAGUGCCCACGCACCCGCUGGGGUUGGGAGCUUGGGAGGGCCAGCUUCACCCUUCCGAAGUCCGCUUCAGGUCUCCGGGCCCAGCCUCGGCCACCAUGUCCCGCCAGACCACCUCUGUGGGCUCCAGCUGCCUGGACCUGUGGAGGGAAAAGAAUGACCGGCUCGUUCGACAGGCCGAGGUAACACGGUUGCUGACACCCUCGGUUUGCAGCCCCAAGAUCCCUGAAAGCGGGUUUGCAGUGGAUUUACCCCAACCGAUGGGGAGGGGCUGAGCUUGACCAAAGAGCCAGAAAUGACUGGAGAAUGCAUCCCUUGCCACUGCUGCAAGGGGAGAAAAAAGGAUUGAUCCUCAUUGACAACCCCUCCCUCAUGUGGCAGGUGGCUCAGAACUCCGGUCUGACUCUGAGGCGACAGCACUUGGCUCAGGAUGCACUGGAAGGGCUCAGAGGGCUCCUCCAUAGUCUGCAAGGGCUCCCUGCAGCCAUUCCUGUUCUUCCCUUGGAGCUGACUGUCACCUGCAACUUCAUUAUCCUGAGGGCAAGCUUGGCCCAGGGUUUCACAGAGGAUCAGGCCCAGGAUAUCCAGCGGAGCCUAGAGAGAGGUG